UGGUAUUGAUUGGUGCUUGCAUCAUGAUUUACAUUUGAGUGAGUGGCGAACUGGUGAGUAACACGUGGGAAACCUGCCCAGAAGCGGGGGAUAACACCUGGAAACAGAUGCUAAUACCGCAUAACAACUUGGACCGCAUGGUCCGAGCUUGAAAGAUGGCUUCGGCUAUCACUUUUGGAUGGUCCCGCGGCGUAUUAGCUAGAUGGUGGGGUAACGGCUCACCAUGGCAAUGAUACGUAGCCGACCUGAGAGGGUAAUCGGCCACAUUGGGACUGAGACACGGCCCAAACUCCUACGGGAGGCAGCAGUAGGGAAUCUUCCACAAUGGACGAAAGUCUGAUGGAGCAACGCCGCGUGAGUGAAGAAGGGUUUCGGCUCGUAAAACUCUGUUGUUAAAGAAGAACAUAUCUGAGAGUAACUGUUCAGGUAUUGACGGUAUUUAACCAGAAAGCCACGGCUAACUACGUGCCAGCAGCCGCGGUAAUACGUAGGUGGCAAGCGUUGUCCGGAUUUAUUGGGCGUAAAGCGAGCGCAGGCGGUUUUUUAAGUCUGAUGUGAAAGCCUUCGGCUCAACCGAAGAAGUGCAUCGGAAACUGGGAAACUUGAGUGCAGAAGAGGACAGUGGAACUCCAUGUGUAGCGGUGAAAUGCGUAGAUAUAUGGAAGAACACCAGUGGCGAAGGCGGCUGUCUGGUCUGUAACUGACGCUGAGGCUCGAAAGUAUGGGUAGCAAACAGGAUUAGAUACCCUGGUAGUCCAUACCGUAAACGAUGAAUGCUAAGUGUUGGAGGGUUUCCGCCCUUCAGUGCUGCAGCUAACGCAUUAAGCAUUCCGCCUGGGGAGUACGGCCGCAAGGCUGAAACUCAAAGGAAUUGACGGGGGCCCGCACAAGCGGUGGAGCAUGUGGUUUAAUUCGAAGCUACGCGAAGAACCUUACCAGGUCUUGACAUACUAUGCAAAUCUAAGAGAUUAGACGUUCCCUUCGGGGACAUGGAUACAGGUGGUGCAUGGUUGUCGUCAGCUCGUGUCGUGAGAUGUUGGGUUAAGUCCCGCAACGAGCGCAACCCUUAUUAUCAGUUGCCAGCAUUAAGUUGGGCACUCUGGUGAGACUGCCGGUGACAAACCGGAGGAAGGUGGGGAUGACGUCAAAUCAUCAUGCCCCUUAUGACCUGGGCUACACACGUGCUACAAUGGAUGGUACAACGAGUUGCGAACUCGCGAGAGUAAGCUAAUCUCUUAAAGCCAUUCUCAGUUCGGAUUGUAGGCUGCAACUCGCCUACAUGAAGUCGGAAUCGCUAGUAAUCGCGGAUCAGCAUGCCGCGGUGAAUACGUUCCCGGGCCUUGUACACACCGCCCGUCACACCAUGAGAGUUUGUAACACCCAAAGUCGGUGGGGUAACCUUUUAGGAACCAGCCGCCUAAGGUGACAG
rnacentral:rRNA from 2 species